rnacentral:vault_RNA from 1 species
GCAUCAGCGUAGCUCAGUGGUUACUUCAAACAUGACAAGAGUCAAGUUUCUACUCUACAGCUUAACAGCUGUGGGUUCGACUACGGGUGCUGGCUGACGUUUUG